rnacentral:rRNA from 1 species
GUGUCAGCCGCCGCGGUAAUACGGAGGGUGCAAGCGUUAUCCGGAUUCACUGGGUUUAAAGGGUGCGUAGGUGGGUUGGUAAGUCAGUGGUGAAAUCUCCGUGCUUAACAUGGAAACUGCCAUUGAUACUACUGGUCUUGAAUUUUCUGGAGGUAAGCGGAAUAUGUCAUGUAGCGGUGAAAUGCUUAGAUAUGACAUAGAACACCAAUUGCGAAGGCAGCUUACUACAGGGACAUUGACACUGAGGCACGAAAGCGUGGGGAUCAAACAGGAUUAGAAACCCUCGUAGUCC